rnacentral:rRNA from 1 species
GACUUAACCCAAAUCGUACUGUUGAUCUCCAAAGUUAAGCAGCAUUGGGUCUGGUUAGUACUUGGGUGGGUGAUCGUCUGGGAAUCCCAGAUGCAAUUCU